UUUUUUUAGAUUGUUGUGGCUAAACAUGACAGAUUUUUCAAAUUUAAACUUAACAUGAUCUUACAAAAACAUUUAGAUUGCAGCACAUAACCUUCCCUAAAGAAAUGGAUUUUAAUAUAGUUAAUAUUUAAAGUGCAAUCAUGAUUUUCAAGUAGCUUUUUAAUGGAAAGUUUGGUGAAAGAAAAAAAGUACAAUAGCACUCUUGAGAUAAGAAUAUUGGAUUUUGUGCCUCCAUCACAUUGAUAAAUGCUUAAAAUAUGUAUGGAUGUGUAAUUAAUCUCUGAGUUUCACAAUUUAAAUUCAACUGGUGGAAUAAAUAAACUUUUCAGUGAUAUUAUUAUUAUUAUUAUUAUUAUUAACUGAGAUGCACCUCCACUUGUCAGGGAGAAAAAGAUUAAUAUAAUAUUUAGACUGUUUGGUCAGGAACCAGUGCUAGUGGGAAGUAAAAGAAAAAGGUGCAAUAUGGAGUUAAUUUGUUUUUAAAAUGGAGUUUCACCUCAGCCAUCUUUUGCUCCAACAGUCGAGUUUGUAAAAAGAAGAAAUAUCUAAUGCAGCAUUGUAGCCAAUUUCAAUGUUGUUGUUCGUCGUCAGUGCCGACCUCAUGACUGAGGCGCCAUCAGUCGUUCUUGUUGUGACAGAAAGGACCUGGCAGAAAAACGAGACUCGAUGUUGCACGUCUUGUUUUACUUUUGCGUGUUUUGAAGCGUUUUCUAUAGAUUUCUUUUUUAAAAAAGGCACACAGAGUGAAGCUUAGACGCGUCUGCUGCUGACAGGCGACACACACUCCUCCUCCCUCUCCUCCGCCUCCCUCCGUCUGCCCGUCUGUCCCGACGACCUCGGCGGCGUCCCCGCGUUCUUCAUCGCGUCCUGACACACGCUGUUCGACAAGAAGCAAGAGACAAUCUGAAGAAGAUGCGAUCGCAUCGCAGUUUACUCUCCCGGCUUUCUGCUACGGUGUGUGUUUGUACAGAGUGUCAGAGCACAGACGAACAUCUCCUACUGCUCAGCGCCAGGCUGAGGCCCGUCCGUCCAAACCAAACCCCUGCCUGCAGAUCGGCUCCCGUGCCCUCCGACCCCCCGCUGAGCAAACACGUUUAGCUGUGUGCUGAAGUUACUGUGACCAACAGCGAAAAAACUUGUCGUCAUGUUGUUGUUUUGUUAUAUUUCCCUACGACGCCCAAUGAUUUUUUGCUCUUUGUAUUGACUUGACAAUGUAAUCUAUUGGUGUUGACUAAAAUGCCCUGGUAGCUUGUGGAUUGCUAAAGUGGUCAGAUAAAUGUACUGUAUAGCUGUACAAAGAGUGAUAAAAGAUGUUUUGAACCUUUUCUUUUUCUGUGGGUACAGCACUGUUAAAAAAAUCAAAGUGGUUUUAGCCCUUGCCUGUUUUAACUUAUCAUUUUGUGAUGGUCUGUAUAACUUCUAUUGUUAUUUAUAUUAUUUGAGUUGUUGCCUCUCCUGCACUGGUAAGAGACUGUAGCUCUGUGCAGGGGUUCGUACUGUAAACCUGUGUGAAGCUUUGUAUUUUCCCUCUCUGGUUUUGGACUCAGUGAAAGUGUGAUGUUUACAUGUACAGUUUUUGAGAAUAUUUUGCGUUUUUUGUUUGUUUUUUGCAUCUUAUUCUUUCCCCCCCUCUCGCCCGCUCCUCUCAUCUAUCCUCCCCUCGCCCUGAUCUGUGUUCAUUCGCUUAGAGAGUUUUUGCUUUCUGUUGUUUCACUGCAUCGUGACCUCUCCGACGACUCGGUCACGCGGUCAGAGUGAGCCGUGCACGACGGCGCUGUGGUGGCUUCCAGCAUUUAAAAUGGUAAUAUUUAAGAGAAAAA